rnacentral:rRNA from 1 species
AACGAACGCUGGCGGCAUGCCUAACACAUGCAAGUCGAACGAGACCUUCGGGUCUAGUGGCGCACGGGUGCGUAACGCGUGGGAACCUGCCCUUAGGUUCGGAAUAACUCCCCGAAAGGGGUGCUAAUACCGGAUAAUGUCUUCGGACCAAAGAUUUAUCGCCUUUGGAUGGGCCCGCGUUGGAUUAGCUAGUUGGUAGGGUAAAAGCCUACCAAGGCGACGAUCCAUAGCUGGUCUGAGAGGAUGAUCAGCCACACUGGGACUGAGACACGGCCCAGACUCCUACGGGAGGAAGCAGUGGGGAAUAUAGGAAAAUGGGCGAAAGCAUGAUCCAGCAAUGCCGGGUGAGUGAUGAAGGCCUUAGGGAAGUAAAGCUCUUUUAACCGGGAUGAUAAUGACAGUACCGGGAGAAUAAGCUCCGGCUAACUACGUG